CUUGAAACUCGCGCCAAAAUGAGAAACAAACGCCCUCGCGCGGAUUUUUUUUUUCUUUUCUGAUUUUGGCGCGAGCUCCAAGUCGCCUCAGGAGCUAAUGGCAUCUGACACAAUAUAUGGAGAUUCUCUGUGAUCCAGGCACCGUUCCUGCGAGCUCACAAGUUGAUGUCUCGUACAUCGGUCGGGGUGCUGGACUGGUCCUGGUCAUCCAAGGCUUUGUUGCGUGGGUUGUUCUGGUCCUGCUGCUGCUGCUUGUGCUGCUGCCUGCGUCCCUCCCUUAGGCUGUUCGUCAGCACACGCUCAAUCUGCUCCUGACAUGCCUUCAACAGGUCCUGCAACCACAGCAACAGACAGAUUACAGUAUGGGAUAAUACACUCCGAUAUAUUUGACUUUGUUUUCUUUUAAGAAUGAACAGACUAAAGGAGGAAUAUCAGCAUCACACAUUGAAGAGCAACAGGAAUUUCUCUUUAAGCGCUUUUCUUUUCGAGGCCAGCUCGCUUCCUUUUUAUUUGUCUUAAUUUAACCAGCCAAUAGAAUCCGACGUUGUGUUACUGGGCAGACUUUUCAGCACUCCAUUCCUAUUCACCUGACGACGAUGAAGAAAGAGAAAAUGAGGAAGAAGAAGAAAAAGAAGAAGACGAGGAAGAGGUGGAGGAAGAAGAAAAUGAUGAUGAUGAUGAUGGUCUUGAUGGUCAUGGUCUUGAUGAUGAUUAUGAUGUGUCUUUUUUUGUUGUUGUGUUUAUUUGUAUUCAGACUAAACUGAAACCCUAAAAAACGCCUCUGAGUGUUCAAGAAGGAGCAACAAAAGUGAACUGAUGCUAAGCUGAUCAGCAGAAAAACUCGCAGAGGAAAUGUUUUAUAAAAUACCAGAUGUACAUCAUCAUCAUCAUUAUUAUUAAUAGUAGUAGUAGUAAUACUGGUAGUAGCCACUCGGUACUGAAUUACUCACUUAAUCCAUUAUUACUCCAUUAAUUAUUCCAUUAGGUAUUAUCAUUAUUGAAUGAACAAGCAUGCAAAAUGAAAAAUAACAGUAAAAGAAGUACACAAAUAAAAGUGUGCCUGUGCGUUUUAUUCUUUAUAUGAGCAAGGAUAUGAUAUGCACACAUACAGAGAGAGAGAGAGAUAUUAUGUCUCUCAAAAGAGACAAAAUUUCGACUGGUUUAAAAAAGAAAGAAAACAUAAAUAAUAGAGUAUUUAUAAUCAUAAUGUACCCUAAUAAAUGCUGCAUAUUGCGCAAUAAACCGCAUUCGCUGAAAGUCGGGGUUUUUUCCUCCACUGUAGCAUCUUAAGACACUCUGUAUCUGUCAGUGAUGUUAACAUUUAAGGUCAGAAUAGUGGGGUUUUUCUUCAGAAUAGUGGAGUUUCCGGAUCGACUCGGACGUACAAUUGGCUUCACAAGAUCAUAAUUAUAAGUAGGUCAGAGCAAGUCGCGUAAAAAUGUGCUCUUCGGACAGGGGGAAAUAAUGAUGCGUUGACUGGAGGAUGCGCAUAUAAGUCGCUACUGAAAAUUAAUUGUAGUUAAAUUACUACACUGCGGAAAUGAUCAAAUGUACUGAUAAAAUGGUGCAUAAGAAAUGAUCAAAUCAAAUCAGAACUUCCCGACAUGACAAAAAAAAAAGGACUUAAAAUUUAAAGUCGCUUAUAGCCAUAUAAUAAUAAUAAUAAUAAUAAUAAUAAUAAUAAUAAUAAUAAUAAUAAUAAUAAUAACCUGAGUAUCCCUCAAACUGCGUUCCCUAUCCUUUUGAAACAUGUGGCCAAAAAACAACAAACUACAGAUUACUAUAUUUGCCAUAAAAGGAGAACGGGACAAGACGGAAGAGCAGCGCGUGCCGAUGGGUUAAAAGCAACACUGCGGUUUUCUUCUUCUUCUUCUUCUUCUUCUUCUUCUUCUUCUUCUUCUUCUUCUUCUACUUCUUCUUCUUCUUCUUCUUCUUCUUCUUCUUCUUCUUCUUCUUCUUCUUCUUCUCACACCCACCCCUGCACAUAAGUGACAUCACUGACGUUUCAGCAGCUCUGCUGAACACCCAUCACUAAGUGCAAUUUGGGUUCAGUUUGAAUCCUUGGAAAGCAAAACUGGAAGUGUUGAAGGGCUCUAACACACCUGACACCACACAACUCCUCAACUGACUACACACAGGUUAUUCUUGGCUUUGUAAAGAUGUGUGUUAGAGCUCAAGCAUCUAUUAUUAUUAUUAUUAUUAUUAUUAUUAUUAUUAUUAUUAUUAUUAUUAUUAUUAUUGUUGUUGUUGUUGUUGUUGUUGUUGUUGUUGUAUCAUUUAACUGUCGUUUACAUGUUUAAGAACUAGCAUCAGCAUGAUUAUAGACAUUUUUAUAAAAGAAAAAUAACCCCUUUCAUUUUUAAGACAUUAUUGUAUUCAGCACAUGUUCUGGCAGAUUGCAGAUGUGGCAUUUCCUCUGAAAUACUAAUGAAAUAGAAUCAUUUUCUGUUAUAAAUAGAGAUAAAAAAAAAUACAAACAGAAGAGCACCUGCACACACGUCUGUACACAAAUGUGGUGCUAAAGAAAUGAGAUAAACACACACACACACACACACACACACACACACACACAC